AAAUAUUAAUCAGGUAACGAGAAUGGUUUCUGUCUAUUCAUAUACAAAAAUAUCAGAAUAGGCAGCCAACUUGUCCGCGUUCUUCAGCCACUCUGCCAUCAAUUUCAAAUCCCAGUCCUUACAAAUUCUCUUUAGAAAACAAAUUAAACUAUAUUUUUCCUCAGUUUAAUUAAUUUAUGGGUGUGAAUAUAAUGAAUUGGAUAGGGUUGCCCGCACUUCUUCUUCUGCUACUCUUCAACAAUGGAACAUCACAGUCCAUCAUCAAAACUCUUCCAGGUUACUCGGGUACUCUGCCCUUUAAACUUGAAACCGGGUCAGUUCUUUCAAUCUUUAUUUCGUUAUUCAUUACUAUUUAAUUUCUUUUCAUGUUUAGCAGUGUUGAGUUCAUUCUGUUAUCCAACAUAAAGUAAAUUCAAGAAACUGAAUUCUUUGCAAAUAUUUUUAGAAUUUUUGUUUGAAUGAUUGAAUAGAUACAUUGGUGUGGGUGAAAACGAUGAAGUGCAGCUAUUCUACUAUUUCGUUGAGUCGGAAAAUAAUCCUAAAACAGACCCUCUUUUAUUUUGGAUUACUGGUGGACCUGGUUGCUCUGGCUUAUCCCCUCUCGUCUAUGAAAUUGGUAAUCACUCUCUAUAAAUAUGUGUGUAUAUGUUUUAUUUGUCUAUAUAUACGCACAUAAAAUAAGUGUUUAUUUAUUUAUUUUUCUAAACUUAAGGGCGUGUUUGAGCCACGUUAUUUUGGUAAUAAUGCUUUCUUAAAUAAUGUAUUGAUAGGAAAUGUGUGGUUAAAAAAUAAGAAAUUUUUUUUGAUCUACGUGUAAUAUUAUUUUAUUAAAAAUGUGUGGUUGAAAUAAUAUCAAAUCACUGUUUAAGAAUAUAUUUUUUUAAAAUAAUGUGACUCAAACAGGCCCUAAAUAAAUAAUUUUUAAAGACGUACUUGUUCAUAAGAGUAACUUUUGACUUCGAUACCACUUAAAUCUUAAUUUCUUUUCCCUUUGAGUAUUAGCUACUUAAGUUAAAUUUUAAAAAGAAUUAAAUCAUGAGCAGAGCCAAGUUUUGGAAUAGGAUGGAAAUACGACAAAUUUAUCACGCUAAUAUGAUUUUGAUUAUUUUAAGUACUAACUAGAAUGUAAUAAUUUUGUUGAAUGAUAAAGAACAUUUAUCUUUUACCCUAUAGCUUUACAAAUCCCUUUAACUUUUUCUUAAGAUUGGAAUUUAUAAAAAAAUAUAUGACUUAAUUUGAAUACAAAAAAAAUUUCAAAAAUAGAAAAGGAAUUUCCUUUCUUUUGAUUCAAAGUUUACUUUCCAAUCGGACUCUAUGACAAUUGACACUAUGUCUAACUUAUUUUCCAUCUCUCGAGUGUAAAACAAGCCACAAUAUUCAUACAAUUGGUGAUCAAGUAAUUGUAGCGAAAAUUAAAUCAAUGUCAAUUAUUCAAAUUGAAAUCGUGUUUUAACGUCAAAAUAAAUAAAAUUCAAAAGUUAAAAGUUCAUAAUACAGUGUUCAUUGCAAAUUUUAGAACAAAAUAAUUUUGUCAAACAUAAUGUCGAGAUUAAACGAAGAAAAUAUAAAAGACAUUACCAAAAAUCAACGAAACGUGAUUAAUGUAUUCAAUUUUCAUCCCUUUUUCAGUUGGCUCUGCGUGUAUAUAUUCCUAUGUUAUUUUCUCCAACAGCCAGCCGCUGACUUUGCUUUCUUUCCUUUGCGUGUAUGCUGUCCCCUUGUGUCUCUUGUGUGUGUGUAUAUAUAUCAACACGCUACUACUUUUUUAUUUCCAGCAGCGUGUAUGCUCAUUCUCUGUUUUUAAUUGUCCUAGGUUUUCCAAUUGCAAGUGAAUUUCAGCCCAAGUAAAAGUCAUGCUAGGUCCAUUUAAUGUACAAUCUUCUUCAAGUCCUCAAUUCCUUAAGGUGUGGAAUAUUAUCUACAAACUUCCAUCCAAUUACCAAUUUAUCCUUCUUUAUUUUCCAAUUGCUUCAAACGAGUCCAUCACUAAAAACAAAAGAAAAUUAACUCAAAUUAAGUAGAAAUUAAUGAUUUGGCGACAUAAAAGUUUAGUAAUAUGGCAUAAAUAAGUGCGCGAAAUGCACUUAUACUCCCCACCAGUGUCCACACGGCGAAGCCUUACCCUCUGAUCUUGCCACCCUGUUUUCCAACUUCCUUCGAUAUCAAGUCUGCUAUACCAUAAAGUAUAUAAGAGGUAAAUACAAGAUCUGUUUCUGACCAUAAACAUCUGAUAAAAUUCAGAAGAAUCGAGACAAAAGGUAAUACCUCCAGUAAUUCCCAGUGUCAGAUUCACCAUCACCUCCAAAUCAACUCACCUGCACAUGCAUUUGAUUUUAUCAAUUUAUGGUUGGAUUUUUAUUCAAGAAGUAUUAAAGGUACUUUGUUAAAUAACUACUCAUCUCAAUUUAAGUAACAAGAGAUAGAAGCAAAUACUAAAUUAAAAUCAAGGAAUCUGGAAAGCAGGGAAAUCGGCGUGUGAGUUUACACACUGCCACUGAAGUAAUCAAUCCAGAUAUCAGCAUCAUCUAUUACUUCAAUAUCAAUCUAUUCUCUUUCAAGGUUCGACUUUGUGAUUAAAUUUCUCAUCUUCUAUGAUAGUGGCCAAAGUCAAGCAGAGAAUAAAGAGAAAGAGAAAGGAAGAAAAAUAGAUGAGGAUAAACAGAAAAACAUUUAUAUCUCUAUGAGGAAGCGGGUGCUCUACCUUGAUCAGACAAAUUUACCAUUAAAAACUUGCCAAUGUUUUACUAAGAGACUAUACAAACGAUCCAAAGUCUCUUCAUAAACCCUAGUUUUGGUUUUUUUAAUUAUUGACUAGCAAUAGUUAUAAUUGAUUUUUUUAUUUUUUAUUUUUUGAUUGAAAGGGGGAAUGUUUAAAAUUGUAAGAGCAUCUACAAGAAACUCUACUUUUAAAGAGCGUAUUUUACAAUUUACAGAUUAUAUAUAAAUUUAGAGUAAAAAUUGAAGUACUCUAACAAGUUUUUUAUAUUUAACAUUUCUUUUUGCUACUUGCAAAUUUUAUUUUUAUUUUUCCCUAUUAUUUAUUUUUACUAGAUUCUCUCCAAAUUAUUAUAUUAUUUUCCUUCGUUG
rnacentral:lncRNA from 1 species